rnacentral:rRNA from 1 species
GUGGGGAAUAUUGCACAAUGGGGGAAACCCUGAUGCAGCGACGCCGCGUGAGCGAAGAAGUAUCUCGGUAUGUAAACUUCUAUCAGCAGGGAAGAUAGUGACGGUACCUGACUAAGAAGCCCCGGCUAACUACGUGCCAGCAGCCGCGGUAAUACGUAGGGGGCAAGCGUUAUCCGGAUUUACUGGGUGUAAAGGGAGCGUAGACGGACUGGCAAGUCUGAUGUGAAAGGCGGGGGCUCAACCCCUGGACUGCAUUGGAAACUGUCGUACUAGAGUGUCGGAGGGGUAAGCGGAAUUCCUAGUGUAGCGGUGAAAUGCGUAGAUAUUAGGAGGAACACCAGUGGCGAAGGCGGCUUACUGGACGAUAACUGACGCUGAGGCUCGAAAGCGUGGGGAGCAAACAGGAUUAGAUACCCCGGUAGUCC